CCUACUCAUGGAAGGGCUUGAGUCAAAAAAAGAGUCACAUAUGGAUACCUAGUUAGGGUAUUAAGUUGGUACUGAUACUAAAUUUUUCUAUAAUCCAUGGCCCCCAAGCUUAGGGCUGUGACUUAAGAGAGAGAGAGGUGGAAUAGAGCAGGUGCCUGUGGUGACAGCCAGGGUCGAGCCAGACCAUCUGCACUACCACCAAACCCUUGAUGGGUAGGGUCUAUAGUGGUGUAGCCUCAACUGGUCAAUUUGAAAUCUGUGGGUGGUAUAGAAUUGUACCAAGUUCCUGGCUUGUAUCUCCCUUCUAGUUCUUCAGGAACUUCCAGCUUAGACAGAAGCAGUAAAACAAACAAACAAAAAAAAAAAAAAAACGAGCCCUGCCAGUAUGUGCUUACAACAGUGCCAUUCAUUCAGCCAUAGGCUUGUAUUCUGUCUGCCCUAAUCACUAAGAUAGCGAUCUAAGAAUCAUGAAUGUAUUUUCAUUUUUUAAACACUUAAUAACCAAUUAUCAUUCAAAUAAGCAUUUAAAAACCAUUUGUUUUGGUUGGAUUUAGGACCAUUAUCAUUCCUUAUGAAAAGGAAGAUAGCUCAGAGGCUUGCUAUUCAGAAAGCUUUGUCAGAUGCAUUACAGAAACUAUUGAUUGUGGUUUUAGCAGGUCCAGGCUGAGUUCAAACCCACCAACACCGGUACAGGGGGCCAGCACUCUAACCAUUGAGCUAUAGGUACCCAGCCAAUUUUAAAUAAUUUUUAAAAAUAGAGACAAGAUCUCACUAUGCUGCCCAGGGUAGUCUCAAACUCCUGGCCUCAACCAAUAUUCUUGCCUCAGCCUCCCAAAGUACUGGGAUUUUGAAAAGUUAAGUGGAUGAAAAUAUGGAUAUCUAAAACACUCCAUCUUAUGUUCUUAUUCACUAAAUUCUUCUACGGAAAUGGUCUCAGAUUUGUUCUCUGUGACAUCUGUGAGAAAAAUGACAGCAAAUAUUAUUGUACGCAUUUUGUAGGUGUAGAAUGACUUGCCUCAGUUCACAUAGAAAGUCUUUGAUCCAGGUAUUCUUUCUCAAUUGUUUGCCUAGCAUGCAGAAUACUGAUUAUGAGAUUUUUUUUUUUUUUUUUGAGAUAGAGUCUCAAGCUGUUGCCCUGGGUAGAGUGCCGUGGUGUCGUAACUCAUAGCAACCUCCAACUCUUGGGCUUAAGUGGACCUCUUGCCUCAGUUCUUCUAUUUUUAGUGGAGACAGCCUCAUUUUUGCUCAGGCUGUUCAUGAACUCGUGAACUCAAGCAAUCCACCUGCCUUGGCCUCCCAGGGUGCUAGGAUUACAGGCAUGAGCCACCAAGCCCAGCCUGACUAUAAGCUUUGAACACCUGGGUUCAAGUUCUAACUCAAUCUCUUCAAGAUUUUUUAUGUAAUUUAGGUUUUAUAACCAGAGAGAUUUGAAGAUGGUUAAUAUUUCUAAGCUACAGUCAUUUUCUCUGCAAAAUGAAGUUAGUAAUUCAACCUACCAUAUGGGAGAUAAUUGUAUGAGUAAGUGAGGUGACAAAUGCAAAAACUCAGAACUAUGCUUACGUAGUAAACAGACAAAAUAUGUUAACUAUUAUCAGUGUUGUUUUCUACCUGAAUAAAUAGAUAAAUGAAUUCUGUUGAAGAGAAAGUUUAUUAGAUUAUGUUUUUUGAAUCAAGAAUUCAGUUUCAGCUUUCAUUUCCGGCAUUGAUAUUGGGUGAAUGUGAUUCCUAUGUAGUACACAUAAUUGGCUGCUUUCCUGUGAGCUGUGAAAGUGGUUGUGCUAUUGAAUGGCACUGAUUGUGUCCCUGUUGAGUUCUACAGCAUUGUGACUGUUACAGGAAACUUGAUGAACAGGAAGUGCCUGAACAGAAUUGCUGUCUGCUUCGUAGCCCUGAAGGGUCAGAGACUGAAAAAUCAGAGAUGGCCCUGAUAAGUCUCAGCCUUCCAACCUGGGCAGCCCUUCUACUGGAAGUCUUACUUCCCUGCUCAGCAGGUAGACUGUUUUAAAAGAGAUGGCCCUGAUAAGUCUCAGCCUUCCAACUGUCAAGUCUGAGUAAUAACCUUCAAGCACCAGACUAGAUGUUUGUGUUGUUUAUCUCUCCCUAGUAUGCAAAGAUAUCCCUCAUACAUACACAAAAUCCUUAGACCAAAAGCCUAUGGCUUUAGUUUGCCUUGAAGGAAUUUGUAUUGUCUACAAUAUAUAGGCCAGUUUCUACCAAUAAAAUGUUCAAAUGCUGUCUAUCUGCGAAGCUUUGUAUAUUGUAUUUGGUGGAAUUUUGGUUCCCGGGGAGUCAAUACUUGUCUCUUGCUUCUAAUAUGUCUACAGGGGUCUCUAUCCCAGGUUUGAACUCACUUUGACCCUCAUUUUGACCCCCAUUUAAUGCCUUACUAUUUAAUCAUAUGAUGAUUGAACUUUUUUAUUUUGAGACUGAGUCUCACUCUGUUGUCCAGGCUAUUGGAAUCAGCCUAGCUUAUAACAACUUCAAACUCCUGGUUUCAAAUGAUCCUCCUGCCUCAGCUGCCUAAGGAGUUGGGACUACAAGUACUGCCACAAUGCCGGCUGGGUUGUUUUUUUUUUUUUUUAUUUUUGUCUUUAGUAGAAACAGGGUCUCACUCUUGCUCAGGCUGGACAUGAACUCCUGAGCUCAAGUGAUCCUUCCACCUCAGCUUUCUAGAGUGCUAGGAUUACAGGGAUGAGCCACCAUGCCCAGGCAUGAUUGAACAUUUUUGUUUUCACAUUUUUUAUUUCCUAUAAAUUGUAAAUUCCUUAGUUCCUGCCUGUAAGAUCAUAAAGUUUUUUGGACCAAACACAGUUGAUACUUCAUACAUAUUUUUAAUAAAUGGUUAUUGUUGUGCCCAAGUCACAAGAUCCCCCACAUAAAUCACCCGGAGACCAAGUCUUUAUUUAUAAGCUUGAGCCUGGGCUCCUUGGUCCUGGUGCAGCAGGAGAGCAGAGAAACCCUGAUCUCGAAAAGGAGGGAGGAUUUUAAGGGUACAGAAAGGAUAGAAAAAGGAGGGGGUGUGAGGUGAGCUGCUGGGGCGAGCUAAUAGGGGUCUAGGGGACUGAGCAGUAUUUGUCCUUGGGUGUCUGGGAGAGUGUUGCUAUCACUCGGAGCAGACAUUAUGCAAGGGCACAGAUCAUGGGGCAAGGACAGGGGGGCAGGGAAGGGAGCAGGUUGCCUAAUGCCUUUGGUAUGCAGCUGCAAAAUGAAGACUGAGGGACAAGAUGAAGUUAGUUUUAACAAAAUGGAGUUAACUUGGUCGUUACAGUUAUGUUAAAAAUUAAAAUGUGAGAUGAGGAAAUUUCCAGGAAAAUGCCCUUAUUUUCUGCUUUUAGAAAUCAAAAGAAUGUCUCAUUAUGGUGUUGGCCCUUUCCCCAUAAUUGCAUUUUUUUUAAUGAUGCAUUUUUCAAGCUCCUCCUCAUAUGGCAAGCAAUGCAUAACUGUAUGUGAAGUCCCUUAAUUAGGGACUAAGUUGCUAAAGUAAUUUCUAAAGUUAUCAUUAUUUACUAUGUAUGAGAUUUUUUUUUAAGGAGCCAAAAAUGUGUUUUGUGUCAGGGGAACUUAAUUUGGGGCUAGGUUUUUGAUUAUUUAACUUGCUCCAGAGUUGCAAAGUGUUUUGUUUUGAAGAAGGGAGUGAAAGAGAAAGUGGUUGAAGUCUGAAAAAGUAUUUGAAGUUUUAUUCUAUUUAAGGCAAAUUAUUAUAAUUCUAUUUAAAUAAAACCAGUAAAGAAAAUGUCAAACUUUAAGAAUACUAGUUUCUUCCCAGCUACUCGGGAGGCUGAGGUAAGAGAAUCGCUUAACCCAAGAGUUUGAGGUUGCUGUGAUGCCACGGCACUCUA